rnacentral:rRNA from 1 species
CGGCGAUGUCCGAAUGGGGAAACCCAGUGCAAUUCGUUGCACUAUCGUUAACUGAAUACAUAGGUUAACGAGGCGAACCGGGGGAACUGAAACAUCUAAGUACCCCGAGGAAAAGAAAUCAACCGAGAUUCCCCCAGUAGCGGCGAGCGAACGGGGAGCAGCCCAGAGUCUGAAUCAGCUUGUGUGUUAGUGGAACGGUCUGGAAAGUCCGACGGUACAGGGUGAUAGUCCCGUACACCAAAAUGCACAGGCUGUGAACUCGAAGAGUAGGGCGGGACACGUGGUAUCCUGUCUGAAUAUGGGGGGACCAUCCUCCAAGGCUAAAUACUCCUGACUGACCGAUAGUGAACCAGUACCGUGAGGGAAAGGCGAAAAGAACCCCGGCGAGGGGAGUGAAAAAGAACCUGAAACCGUGUACGUACAAGCAGUGGGAGCACCUUCGGGUGUGACUGCGUACCUUUUGUAUAAUGGGUCAGCGACUUAUAUUCUGUAGCAAGGUUAACCGUAUAGGGGAGCCGCAGGGAAACCGAGUCUUAACUGGGCGUUAAGUUGCAGGGUAUAGACCCGAAACCCGGUGAUCUAGCCAUGGGCAGGUUGAAGGUUGGGUAACACUAACUGGAGGACCGAACCGACUAAUGUUGAAAAAUUAGCGGAUGACUUGUGGCUGGGGGUGAAAGGCCAAUCAAACCGGGAGAUAGCUGGUUCUCCCCGAAAGCUAUUUAGGUAGCGCCUCGUGAACUCAUCUUCGGGGGUAGAGCACUGUUUCGGCUAGGGGGUCAUCCCGACUUACCAACCCGAUGCAAACUACGAAUACCGAAGAAUGUUAUCACGGGAGACACACGGCGGGUGCUAACGUCCGUCGUGAAGAGGGAAACAACCCAGACCGCCAGCUAAGGUCCCAAAGUCAUGGUUAAGUGGGAAACGAUGUGGGAAGGCACAGACAGCCAGGAUGUUGGCUUAGAAGCAGCCAUCAUUUAAAGAAAGCGUAAUAGCUCACUGGUCGAGUCGGCCUGCGCGGAAGAUGUAACGGGGCUAAACCAUGCACCGAAGCUGCGGCAGCGACACUAUGUGUUGUUGGGUAGGGGAGCGUUCUGUAAGCCUGCGAAGGUGUGCUGUGAGGCAUGCUGGAGGUAUCAGAAGUGCGAAUGCUGACAUAAGUAACGAUAAAGCGGGUGAAAAGCCCGCUCGCCGGAAGACCAAGGGUUCCUGUCCAACGUUAAUCGGGGCAGGGUGAGUCGACCCCUAAGGCGAGGCCGAAAGGCGUAGUCGAUGGGAAACAGGUUAAUAUUCCUGUACUUGGUGUUACUGCGAAGGGGGGACGGAGAAGGCUAUGUUAGCCGGGCGACGGUUGUCCCGGUUUAAGCAUGUAGGCUGGUUGUCCAGGCAAAUCCGGAUAAUCAAGGCUGAGGUGUGAUGACGAGGCACUACGGUGCUGAAGUAACAAAUGCCCUGCUUCCAGGAAAAGCCUCUAAGCAUCAGGUAACAUCAAAUCGUACCCCAAACCGACACAGGUGGUCAGGUAGAGAAUACCAAGGCGCUUGAGAGAACUCGGGUGAAGGAACUAGGCAAAAUGGUGCCGUAACUUCGGGAGAAGGCACGCUGGUGUGUAGGUGAAGUCCCUGCGGAUGGAGCUGAGACCAGUCGAAGAUACCAGCUGGCUGCAACUGUUUAUUAAAAACACAGCACUGUGCAAACACGAAAGUGGACGUAUACGGUGUGACGCCUGCCCGGUGCCGGAAGGUUAAUUGAUGGGGUUAUCCGUAAGGAGAAGCUCUUGAUCGAAGCCCCGGUAAACGGCGGCCGUAACUAUAACGGUCCUAAGGUAGCGAAAUUCCUUGUCGGGUAAGUUCCGACCUGCACGAAUGGCGUAAUGAUGGCCAGGCUGUCUCCACCCGAGACUCAGUGAAAUUGAACUCGCUGUGAAGAUGCAGUGUACCCGCGGCAAGACGGAAAGACCCCGUGAACCUUUACUAUAGCUUGACACUGAACAUUGAGCCUUGAUGUGUAGGAUAGGUGGGAGGCUUUGAAGCGUGGACGCCAGUCUGCGUGGAGCCAACCUUGAAAUACCACCCUUUAAUGUUUGAUGUUCUAACGUUGGCCCCU